rnacentral:lncRNA from 1 species
GCCCACGCAGGCCUGGGGCAUGCAGCCCUGGCCGGACGACUAAGCGGAGUCUUGGGCACAACAUGACACUGCCCUUCUCGGGGGCUUUCCUGCUCCAGGCAUGAAGGCAAGGUUUGACCUCACUCAAAAGUUAGUGAACUGAAAACAGACCAAGGGCCUAGGCAGCCUCCACACACACCCUGCCAGCCACGGAGCCGCCCGCUGUGGACACAGCCCCAGGUGCCCGGACUCACCACGGCAGCAAUGUUUUCAUGGUAGUGCCUGUAGGUGAAGCCGUCUUGCAUCGUGAUGGUGGCCAGGGCCUCCAGGACUGAGGCGCUGAGGAUGAUCAAGGUGGUGGUGGCCACGAAGCAGAACACAGACACGAACAUCACCCAGCCCUGGACCAGGGGCCAGGGCACCAGGGAGGAGGCCACCAGGAUCCACACCAGGCCCCCGAAGAUCUGCGGGGGAGGAGGAGGGGAAGUGUUCUGAUGAUCAGAUUUGGAGUUGGAAUGGAGUAACCAAGGACAGCCUUGUCUCUUUGGAUGGCUGAGGAUGGGCAUGAGGAAAGUACAGUCCCGUGGUUAUCCAGAAUACACCCCAGUUGAUGUCGCCAGGGUCAGUGAGCCCCAUACAGUCAAAGAGGAGCAGACAUGGGGGCCAGUAGCACCCCUCAGUAGCCCAGCCCCGCUCCUCGCCGUGGAUGGACACAUACAAACCCGCUCCCCACCGCGGAUGGGUACGUACAAACUCCGUUCCUCACUGUGGACAGGCGUGUACAAACCCCAGCGGGGACUUUCUGCACUUCUCUUUCCCUUCUCCUCAUCUCCCCCAGCGCCACCC